rnacentral:rRNA from 1 species
AGAAUCAACGCUGGCGGCGUGCCUAACACAUGCAAGUCGAACGAGAAAGUGGAGCAAUCCAUGAGUAAAGUGGCGCACGGGUGAGUAACACGUGACUACCUACCCUUGAGUGGGGGAUAACCUAGGGAAACCUGGGCUAAUACCGCAUAACACCUUCGGGUCAAAGGAGCAAUUCGCUUAAGGAGGGGGUCGCGGCCGAUUAGUUAGUUGGCGGGGUAAUGGCCCACCAAGACGAUGAUCGGUAUCCGGCCUGAGAGGGCGCACGGACACACUGGAACUGAAACACGGUCCAGACUCCUACGGGAGGCAGCAGUGGGGAAUUUUGCGCAAUGGGGGAAACCCUGACGCAGCAACGCCGCGUGGAGGAUGAAGUCCCUUGGGACGUAAACUCCUUUCGAUCGGGACGAUUAUGACGGUACCGGAAGAAGAAGCCCCGGCUAACUUCGCGCCAGCAGCCGC